AACGAACGCUGGCGGCAGGCUUAACACAUGCAAGUCGAACGGAACCUUCGGGAUUAGUGGCAGACGGGUGAGUAACGCGUGGGAACGUACCCUUUGCUACGGAAUAACUCAGGGAAACUUGAGCUAAUACCGUAUGUGCUCUACGGGGGAAAGAUUUAUCGGCAAAGGAUCGGCCCGCGUUGGAUUAGCUAGUUGGUGGGGUAAUGGCCUACCAAGGCGACGAUCCAUAGCUGGUCUGAGAGGAUGAUCAGCCACACUGGGACUGAGACACGGCCCAGACUCCUACGGGAGGCAGCAGUGGGGAAUAUUGGACAAUGGGCGCAAGCCUGAUCCAGCCAUGCCGCGUGAGUGAUGAAGGUCUUAGGAUUGUAAAGCUCUUUCACCGGUGAAGAUAAUGACGGUAGCCGGAGAAGAAGCCCCGGCUAACUUCGUG
rnacentral:rRNA from 1 species